GCUCGGACCGCUUCUUUCUGAACUCCACGCAGUCUGUCAUUUUGCUCAGCUGUAGACCACGAGUUUCUCGAGAGUCGAGAGGGCGACAUGGAGAGGCGAUUUCGCUCGCCGUCGGCGGGUUUUGCUCGCCGCCGCCCUCCGAUGAGUUCCCCGGCGCCCCUUCUGCGAACUGAUGUGUUUCCUCGUUUCGGGCGCUCAGUUUUUUGCUUUCUCCUUGGCUGGGGGCGUAGCUACGCGAAGCUUCCAGAGGCAAGAGAGGGUUGAUUCCUUUGAUUCGCUCUCGUCGGCGGCCUGGGUGGUUCCUCUCUGCCCUACUCCGAGUCGAGAGGGGUUCGAUUUUGCGCGCUUGUCAUCAGGAGGCUUUUGCUUUUCCGCCGUCCUCCGGUGAACCCCCUGACGUGGCUAGCGGUGUGGCGAGGGGAAAACGGCAGAGGCGACACGGGUGUUUGUUUCGUGGCCGUCGUCGGAGAGCUCUAGUCAGCUAUUAGGCGUGCAAGGGAUGUGCAAAUUAGCUGUACUCAGAAUUUUGGUUUGUUCGGCGGCGAGGUCUGCAUUGUGGUGUUUGGCGGCGGCGGUGUUUGCUCUGCAUAUGUUACUUGUAGCUUGGCCUCCUCGUGCUUGGUUAUGCUUUACUUUGAGCUGCGUUAGUUGUUCUGGAAUGGCAUUUUGAUUUCACAGGGGUGGUUGCACUGGAUCAAGUGUUACUGGUGCUCCCCGAGCACUCAUUUUUGUGCUCUCUUGUACACUAUCAUCUUGCAUUGCAGUUCAUCAUUGCUAUUUUCUUGGCUGUUUUCAGCAAGUUUUCUCCAUUUUCCUGAAUCUCAUCAUAAUUUAUCCAAUCAUUAUCCGCCUCUUCAAUUUCUUCCUCAAUUCUGACCGCCUGUUCUAUGUUAUUUGUCAGAAUGUAUGUCUUCUCUAGGUCCUACAUCUCCAUGUGUUCUAUAUCAAUUGUUUGAUCUAUCGUCAUGUCGUAGGUAUGCUGCAAAACCAAAAGCUAGUUAAUUUCUCUUCUGGGUGGUUGCAUAUUUUCUCUUUUGAGUUAUUUGUUUAUAUUUUUAUAUUUAAAUCAUCCGUGCACCACUGAAGAAAUUGUCAUCUGUAUCGAAAUCACCAAUUUGUGCCGUAAGAAUUCAAAAAUCUGCAAGUUAUCUCUUAACAGCUUUCACAAACAGAACAUUAUUUUAGAAGGUAGGUUUUGUUUUUACUUACACCAAGGGAAGUCAUAUCCCUUAGCAAAUUGUUGUAUUCUGCAUUGUUUGGCUGAGCUGUUCCAAAUUGUUGUUGUGUGUUAUAGUCUGUAUAUGUUGAAUUGAAUGCUUCAGUAAACCAUGCCGACGAGAAACCCUGCAUUUUGUCAACUCAAGUUAAUUUGUGCACAAUAUCAGCAGUACUAAGAAGUGGGCAAAAUAUACAUGUAGGUGCUGAAAACGACUUGCCUGAUCAGUUCUGACUAGGCUUGUUGACUGUGGAUUGAGGUUAGACUCCAUCUCUCACUUCCGUUUGCUUGUUGCUCGUUCUGACUAGGCUUGUGAUUUCGAUUCAUGCUCAUCGCUCGAUUUCAGCUUGUUGUUGCUGCCUUUUUCCACGCAGCUGUCGUAGUGUUCUGUUCUUAGGGUACCCUGAUUGGGGAAGUCUCGUUUCUUCCUUUUUCGUGUCCUAGCAGGUGAAUUUUAUGUUGCAAUUGCAGCUCCCUCUAAUUUGAAUUGCACUUACAUGAUUAAACUAAAAAUUUCCAACUUUUUAAAGUUCAUGCAGUGCAAUUCUAGAAUUAAGUUGUUGCAAUUACAUUUUUUGGGUUUAUAUGUGUUUUAGAUUCCCAUGCUCUGUUGCAAAAUAGGAAAUUUGGGACUAUUUUGAUUUUGAUUCUACAUUAGAGGAGAGUACAUAUAAUCUUAUUUUCUCUUAUUUAGAUUCCCAUGCUCUGUUUUGUUGCCAAAGUGCAUGUUCUGGUGGUAUAAUGCCACUCCCAGGUAAAGAGUAUGCACUCUUCGGGUGCUAGCUGGCCACUCCCAGGUAGAGCGUGACUGUGUUUGUCAAAAUAAUUAUUUUUGUUUUUUAGGAACAGAAAUAUCCACUUAUGAUUUAUGCUUCCCCAAGCACCAUUAGUUGUUAAUUAUGGGAUGGAUUUGGACUGCAUUUUAUUGUCAAUUGCAUUACUUAUACCUAGCAACUAAAUUGUGCCAAAGUGCAAUUGCACUUAUGAUUCUGAUUCAGAGUCAAUCACAGUACUUGUACUUUUGCAAUUGCACCUUUUUCAAAUUGGAGUUUGCACUCCAGUUGGAGGCGCCGAGGUGUUAGUUAGAUGCGAAACCAAUUUGAACUCGUCGUCAGGAGCCAUUUUACUGCUUUUUAAUUUUAAUUGCACUCAUUCUGUUGUUGCAUUUUCAGUUCUCCCAAGUUGCAAUUGCAACUUAUUGUUCUGGAUAUAUCACCAUCUUCCCUAGUUUUGCACAGCUUAAAUUUAAUUGCACUCAAAUCAUUGUUGCAAUUACAUUAUUGUUUUUCUGCCUCUUACCUAUUUGCACUAGACAUGAUGUAGAAUUCUCCCCAUCCUUGUGUAUGAAGUGAGUUUAUUCUAUACCUUUUGUCAAUCUCUCACUUUGGUUUUGUUAAGUGCGGGAUGGUUAUUCAUCCAAAGAUUAUUCAGAGACCGACUUGAUCAUUGAAAAUAUUAACGAUCUGGUAUUUACAUCUUGCCUUUUUGAUACGUGUAUCUGAAGAAUUCUCUAUUGUGCUUUUUUCUCUCUUUUGUGUCGUUUAGUCCUUUUGCAAGAAAAAUAAUAAUCCUUGUGAGCCUUUGUGUAGUUUAGACCUUCCUUUAUUUACCUAACCCAAGCAUCUUUGUGCAUUAGCUGAACCUACUUUAAUCCACUUUAAUUAGUAUUAGCUAUUGCAUCGCAUGUAGUUUAAUACCUGCAAUCGUGUGUCUUUUGAUAUGCAAUUGCAGUUAAUUGCUAUCCAUAAAUUUUGUUCCUUAUCUGUCGAUCGUUAGUUCCGUGUGUACAUCAUAGUUACAAAAAUGCACUUUCCCAAAUGUGAAUGAACCGUAAAUUUGUUCCUUGUUGUUCUCUUACUCAAUUGCAUUUAGUUUACUUUGUGCGAUCUGAUGUCUUAUGAAUUGCUACUGCCUUUUUUUUGUUACUGGAAUUGCACGGUUGUAGUUCCAUCCUUUAUUUGUUGUUGUUGAGCCUUAGUCUUCCCCUAUGUCCAGAGGCUGAAUAUCUUUUGUCUGAAAUUUUGUCACUAGUCUAGUGUGGAUCACAGGUACAAUGUGCCCAUUAUCUAUUCUUUUUAGUCAAUUGCAUGUAUCUUACUAUGAGCAAUCGGAAGUUUUAUUAAUUGCAAUUGCAUUUGCUUGUUAUUGGAAUCGCAGACUAUUAAUUUUCAGCAUUGUUUGUCAAUUCUGAGAUAUUUCGCACACUAGUAGUUUUAGGCUGAAUUUUGUUGUCUUAACUUGUAACUCAGUUAGUGUUAGGGUGUUUCCUUCCCUUUCUGUUGUUUUAGACUGGACAAGUGUACUGUAGUUGAUUCAAAGAGCAUGAUGAAGGGUUCUUUGCAUGGAAAACAAAAAAUUUCCUACGAGAUGUGCGGAAGAAACCUAAGAACAUAUCUAGUAGAUGUAAGUAACGAGAGCGAUAAUGAGCAUCAUACCCUCGUAGACCACAAAGCGUUACGAUCAUAGGAUUGUUGUUGGCGUAGUGGAACUUUCGACGAGAUCAAUCUCAGUGUAGAAAACGACGGCACCUCCUUAGUAUCCACACGUUCAGCUUCACGUCGUCUCCUCCUUCUUAAUCCAACAAGCGAGGAGAAGAGGUCGAUGAGAUUCCAGCAGCACGAUGGCGUGGUGUAGGCUAUGGUGAAGUUUUCCACGGGCAGGGCUUCACCGUGCGCGUGAGAGGAGGAGGUCAGGGAGAGCAGGGGCAUCCAAGGGGCAGCCCCUUCCCUCCUUAUAUAGGGGAGGAGGCCGACGGCAAGGCAGAGGUGGCCGGCCAGGGGAUCCCGGAAAGGAGUCCCGGGAGGACUCCCUCCCCACGAGCUCAGUUGUUCCUCCCCUUUCCCCCUAAUGGGCCUAGGCCCAUUAGGGGAUAACUAAUUAGAUUGCUCUAAUUAAUUUUAUAAAGGCCCGAUUAAAUUCUCAGGAAUAUUCUGGAACAUUCCGAACCUUUUGAGAACUUCCGGAACCUUGUAGAACAUUCUCGGUCCAUACCGGAAAAUAUCCCGAACUUUUCCGAAACAGUUUUCCCAUAUAUAAUUCUUUAUCUUCGGACCAUUCUGAAGCUCCUCGUGAUGUCCUGGAUCCCAUCCUGGACUUCAAAUCAAUAUUCGAUAUCACCAUCUAUUAUCUCAUCGUACCCUAGCGACAUUAAGCGUUAAGUGUGUGACCCUAUGGGUUCGAAAACAUGCGGACAUGAUCGAGACACCUCUCUGAUCAAUAACCAAAAGCGAGACCUGGAUAUCCAUAAUGGUUUUCACAUAUUCCACGAAGAUCUCAUCGGUUGAACCACGAUGUCGAGGAUUCAAUUAAUCCGGUAUCCAAUUC